rnacentral:misc_RNA from 1 species
GGCUGGAUCACCUCCUUUCUAAGGAAUUCUCGGAUCGCCUUUCGGGGUAGAUUCGGAGAAGACCGGUCGAUUUACCCAUAGUUGGUUGUACGUCUGCCUAGUUUUGAGGGAGCAGUCGGGUGGGCUCUGGAUAUGACGAGCGGGCCUAUAGCUCAGCUGGUUAGAGCGCACGGCUGAUAACCGUGAGGUCGGUAGUUCGAAUCUACCUAGGCCCACCAGACCCGGGGCGGAGCGAUCCGCAGUGCUCAUGAACGGCGAACGAGAUGCCGGGGCUAUAGCUCAGUUGGGAGAGCGCCGCCCUUGCACGGCGGAGGUCAUCGGUUCGAAGCCGAUUAGCUCCACCAUGUUCGCGUUUGGGGUCUCGCCUGUGAAGGUCGUCAAACACCUUUACAGGCGAGCCUCCGGGCUCGAUGCUCUUUGAAAAUCAGGCGAGGAAGAAGUAACGACAGUGAUAGCGAGUGCCGCAUUUGCUAAAGGCGAAUGAUGGUCAAGCUACGAAGGGCAAACGGUGGAUGCCUUGGUGCCAGAAGGCGAUGAAGGACGUGGUUAGCUGCGAUAAGCCUCGGUGAGCCGCUAGCAGGCUUCGACCCGGGGAUUUCCGAAUGGGGAAACCCUCCAGGAUGAACUCCUGGAAACCCGUGCUGAAUACAUAGGCGCGAGGUGGCGAACGGAGGGAACUGAAACAUCUCAGUACCUCCAGGAACAGAAAAGAUAUUGAUUCCCUCAGUAGCGGCGAGCGAACGGGGAAGAGCCUAAACCGGCUGCAUGUCAAGCUCGUGAGCGUUGUGCAGCUGGGGUUGCGGGGCCGCAGUAGGCGGGGUUACGAACCUGCCGGGAAGUCAAAACCCGAGUUAUAGCCGAAGAGCAUGGGAAGGCUCACUAAAAAAGGUGACAGUCCUGUAGGCGAAAUAAUUCGGGCUUCCUGAUUGCGGUUCCCAAGUACCACGGGACACGUGAAAUCCAGUGGGAAUCCGGCCUGACCACAGGCCAAGGCUAAAUACUAUCUGGCGACCGAUAGUGCACUAGUACCGUGAGGGAAAGGUGAAAAGCACCCCGGUGAGGGGAGUGAAAUAGAAUCUGAAACCGUUUGCCUACAAGCAGUGGGAGGGCUAUGCCCGCAAGGGAAUGCCUGACCCGCGUGCCUUUUGUUUAAUGAUCCGGCGAGUUACUCUACGCAGCAAGGUUAAUCCCGUAAGGGGAGGAGCCGCAGCGAAAGCAAGUCUGAAUAGGGCGAUUCAGUUGCGUGGAGUAGACCCGAAACCGAGUGAGCUACCCAUGGCCAGGUUGAAGCAGGUGUAAAAUCUGUGGAGGACCGAACCAGUGCCGGUUGAAAACGACUUGGAUGAGCUGUGGGUAGGAGCGAAAGACCAAUCAAACUCGGAAAUAGCUGGUUCUCCCCGAAAUAGUUUAGGACUAGCCUCGCAUAAGAUAGACGCUGGUGGUAGAGCACUGGAUGGACUAGGGGGCCUACAAGCUUACCAAACCCAACCAAACUCCGAAUGCCGGUGUUCCGUAUUGCGGGAGUCAGCCUGCGGGCGAUAAGGUCCGUAGACGAGAGGGAAACAACCCAGAUCAUCAGCUAAGGCCCCAAAGUGCUGGCUAAGUGGGGAAAGGAUGUGGGAUUACUCAGACAACCAGGAGGUUGGCUUAGAAGCAGCCAUCCUUUAAAGAAAGCGUAACAGCUCACUGGUCAAGUGAUUCUGCGCCGAAAAUUCAACGGGGCUCAAGCCAGCCGCCGAAGCUAUGGAUUCGCUGCCUUCGGGCAGCGUCUGGUAGGGGAGCAUUCUGUGGCAGACACGCGAUGGACCGUAAGGACCAUUAUCGGGCCACAGAAGAGAUUAUGCCGGAAUAAGUAGCGAAAAAGCGUGUGAAAAACACGCUCGCCGAAAGCCUAAGGUUUCCUGGGGUAGGUUAAUCCGCCCAGGGUUAGUCGGUUCCUUAGUCGAGGCCGAAAGGCGUAGAUGAUGGACAGCAGGUCAAUAUUCCUGCACCACCAGGCAUGCGUUUGAGUGAUGGGGGGACGCAGAAGGAUAGAGAUACAGCCUAUCGGAUGGCUGGCCGCGAUCGUAGGAGGGGUGGCAUGGAAAAUCCGGCCGCCCGCAUUCUCUGAGGAAAGCGGGGAAGCGCGUCUUCGGACAAGCCAACUUCUUGAUUCCACGCUGCCAAGAAAAGCCUCUAAGCGAGUAUGUCUGGUGACCGUACCGUAAUCCGACACAGGUGGGCAGGGAGAAUAUCCUAAGGCGCUCGAGUGAUUUCUCGUUAAGGAACUCGGCAAAAUAGUCCCGUAACUUCGGAAGAAGGGACGCCCCCUCUGGUUUGAGGACUUGCUCCAAAGAGCCUAGGGGGGCCGCAGUGAAAAGGCCCAGGCGACUGUUUAGCAAAAACACAGGACUCUGCAAAGCCGCAAGGCGACGUAUAGGGUCUGACGCCUGCCCGGUGCCGGAAGGUUAAUGGGAGGGGUCAUUGGGGGCAACCCUGAGAAGCUCCGAACUGAAGCCCCGGUAAACGGCGGCCGUAACUAUAACGGUCCUAAGGUAGCGAAAUUCCUUGUCGGGUAAGUUCCGACCUGCACGAAUGGCCGUAACGAUCUGGGCGCUGUCUCAACGAGAAGCUCGGCGAAUUUUGUAGUUCCGGUGAAGAUGCCGGAUACCCGCGAUUAGACGGAAAGACCCCGUGCACCUUUACUGCAACUUGGUAUUGGAUUCUGGGAUGGGAUGUGUAGGAUGGGUGGGAGGCGAUGAAGCGUCGGCGCCAGCCGGUGCAGAGCCAACCUUGAAAUACCACCCUUCUUAUUCCGGGAUUCUAACCUGUUCCCGUAUAUCCGGGAAAGGGACAUUGCCUGGUGGGCAGUUUGACUGGGGCGGUCGCCUCCUAAAUGGUAACGGAGGCGCC